rnacentral:misc_RNA from 1 species
AUGAUUGGCCUCAGGGCCUUAUCGAUUAUUAAUCCCAACACCUCUGUGAACCGUUUCGGCCCUCGGGCUGAUCUUUUUACAAUACAAACACUGUGUAAUGAGCGUCUCGUUAUCUUAACAAAAC